AUGUCCUCAAGUCCAGGCCACAAAAUCCAGGCCCAAAAUGUCCGCAAGUCGGCCUCUCAAGGCCCCGCUCCUGCCUUUCUAUCUCCAGGCCCAGAACUUCCUCAAGUGGGCCUUUCCAGGCUCAGCUCUUCCUCUCGGCUGCAUCUCCAGGCCCACCUCCUACCUCACAACAACCUCUUUCAGCUCAGCUCUUGCCCAGCUCCUAGCAGCCUUUAUAGGCCCAAAGCUUUCUCACAUCAUCCUCUCCAGGCCCAGCUCUUGCCUCAUGGCAGCUGCCCCAGGCCAAGUUUCUGACUGCCUGCCAGCAGCCUCAACAGGCACAGCUCCUCCCUCACACUGGCCUGUUUAGGCCCAAUUCAUGACUGUCAGGCCCUAUCCAGGCCCAGUGCCUGCCUUCUGACUGACUCUUGAAGCCCAAAACUUCCUCAAAUCAGCCUUUUUAGGCCCACCUUCUGUCUACUGUCGGACUCUACAGGCCAGCCUCUGCCUCACAGUGGACCCUCCAGACCCAGAUCAUGUCUUACCGUGGCAUCCUCAGGUGAAGAUCCUGCCUUUCGGUAGCUUCUACAGGGCCACCUCCUGCCUUGCAAUGGCCUUUUUAGGCCAAGCUCAUGCCCCAUGGCGACUUUUCCAGGCACAGAUUUUGCCUUUUGCAGCCUGUCCAGGCCCAGAAUGUCCUCAACUCGGCAUCUCUGGGACGAGUUCAUUCUCCCGGCUGCAUCUACAGGCCCAUUUCCUGCCUCAAAACAACUUCCUUUGGCCCAACUCCUGCCAAGCUGCUGGCAGCCUCUGUAGGCCACAGACUUCUUAAAGUAAAGCUUUCCAGGCCCACCUUCGGCCUCCCGGCAGCCUCAGCAAUCAAACUAUUCCCUCAUGGCAGCUACCAAAAGCCAAGUUUCUCCCUGCCUCACGACAUCCUCCAAAAACUGAGCAUUUGCCUCACGGCAGCCUCCCCAGGCCACGAAUCUGUCUGUCUCCCAGCAGUCUUGACAAGUCCAGCUGUUGCCUCGCAAUGGCCCCUUUAGGCCCAGCUUAUGCCAAAAGGGGGACUCUCCAGGCAUAGCUCUUGCCUUCUGGCAGCCUCUGCAGGCCCCAGUUCUCCAAAAGUUGGUCUCUCCCAACCCAGCUCCUACCUCACGUCAGCCUACACGGGCCCAAACUCUACCAUACAGUGGCCCUUCCAGGCCCACCACUUGCCUGAUCAUGGCCUCCUCAGGUGAAUUUCCUGC